UACGUAGGGGGCUAGCGUUGUCCGGAAUCAUUGGGCGUAAAGAGCGUGUAGGCGGCUCGGUAAGUCCGCUGUGAAAGUCCAGGGCUCAACCCUGGAAUGCCGGUGGAAACUGUCGGGCUAGAGUCCGGAAGAGGCGAGUGGAAUUCCUGGUGUAGCGGUGAAAUGCGCAGAUAUCAGGAGGAACACCAAUGGCGAAGGCAGCUCGCUGGGACGGUACUGACGCUGAGACGCGAAAGCAUGGGGAGCGAACAGG
rnacentral:rRNA from 1 species